rnacentral:lncRNA from 1 species
AAAGUUUAAAUUUUUCAUACUUCAAUUGGUUUCAAGAAGCUAGACAUUGGCAAUAAAGCUUUGGCGAUGUUCAAUUCCGCUGGACACUAAGAUCAAAUAAGCAAGCAGCUGAUGCUCUUGCUAAGACUCCCAUUAGGGAUAAUUUUUAGUUGUAUCAUCAUUUUGUUCCUCUGUUUCUUAUCCAUGUUAUGCAUUGAAACCAUGUAAAAUUAUUAAUCUAAUAAAAUGCAGAAAUGACAAAAAAAAGUAUGGUAUUUUUGGAAAAAGAAAAUUAAACAUGAU